UACGUAGGCAGCGAGCGUUGUUCGGAAUUACUGGGCGUAAAGAGUGUGUAGGCGGUGCUCUAAGUUCGGUGUGAAAUCUCCCGGCUUAACUGGGAGGGUGCGCCGGAAACUGGAGUGCUCGAGCGUGGGAGAGGAAAGCGGAAUUCCUGGUGUAGCGGUGAAAUGCGUAGAUAUCAGGAGGAACACCAAUUGCGAAGGCAGCUCGCUGGGACGUUACUGACGCUGAGACGCGAAAGCGUGGGGAGCAAACAGG
rnacentral:rRNA from 1 species